rnacentral:rRNA from 1 species
AGUGAACGCUGGCGGUAGGCCUAACACAUGCAAGUCGAACGGCAGCACAGUAAGAGCUUGCUCUUACGGGUGGCGAGUGGCGGACGGGUGAGGAAUACAUCGGAAUCUACUUUUUCGUGGGGGAUAACGUAGGGAAACUUACGCUAAUACCGCAUACGACCUACGGGUGAAAGCAGGGGAUCUUCGGACCUUGCGCGAUUGAAUGAGCCGAUGUCGGAUUAGCUAGUUGGCGGGGUAAAGGCCCACCAAGGCGACGAUCCGUAGCUGGUCUGAGAGGAUGAUCAGCAACACUGGAACUGAGACACGGUCCAGACUCCUACGGGAGGCAGCAGUGGGGAAUAUUGGACAAUGGGCGCAAGCCUGAUCCAGCCAUACCGCGUGGGUGAAGAAGGCCUUCGGGUUGUAAAGCCCUUUUGUUGGGAAAGAAAAGCAGCAGGUUAAUACCCCACUGUUCUGACGGUACCCAAAGAAUAAGCACCGGCUAACUUCGUG